GACGAACGCUGGCGGCGUGCUUAACACAUGCAAGUCGAACGGAAAGGCCCUGCUUUUGUGGGGUGCUCGAGUGGCGAACGGGUGAGUAACACGUGAGUAACCUGCCCUUUACUUUGGGAUAACUUCAGGAAACUGGGGCUAAUACCGGAUAGGAGCUCCUGCUGCAUGGUGGGGGUGGGAAAGUUUCGGCGGUUGGGGAUGGACUCGCGGCUUAUCAGCUUGUUGGUGGGGUAGUGGCUUACCAAGGCUUUGACGGGUAGCCGGCCUGAGAGGGUGACCGGCCACAUUGGGACUGAGGAACGGCCCAGACUCCAACGGGAGGCAGCAGUGGGAGAUAGUCCGCAAUGGGCGGAAGCCUGAUGCAGCAACGCCGCGUGCGGGAUGACGGCCUGUAGGUUGUAAACCGCUUUCGCCUGUAAAGAAGCGUGAGUGACGGUAAUGGGUAAAGAAGCACCGGCUAACUACGUG
rnacentral:rRNA from 1 species